rnacentral:rRNA from 1 species
AUUGAACGCUGGCGGCAUGCCUUACACAUGCAAGUCGAACGGCAGCGCGGACUUCGGUCUGGCGGCGAGUGGCGAACGGGUGGGUAAUACAUCGGAACGUACCCUGUUGUGGGGGAUAACUAGUCGAAAGAUUAGCUAAUACCGCAUACGACCUGAGGGUGAAAGUGGGUGACCGCAAGGCCUCACGCAGCAGGAGCGGCCGAUGUCUGAUUAGCUAGUUGGUGGGGUAAAGGCCCACCAAGGCGACGAUCAGUAGCUGGUCUGAGAGGACGAUCAGCCACACUGGGACUGAGACACGGCCCAGACUCCUACGGGAGGCAGCAGUGGGGAAUUUUGGACAAUGGGGGCAACCCUGAUCCAGCAAUGCCGCGUGUGUGAAGAAGGCCUUCGGGUUGUAAAGCACUUUUGUCCGGAAAGAAAUCGCGCUGGUUAAUACCUGGCGUGGAUGACGGUACCGGAAGAAUAAGCACCGGCUAACUACGUGCCAGCCGCCGCAGUAA